UGGGGUGUUAGGUGUCUGGGGCUCUUCCUUAUAGAGGGGGAUAACCUCUGGAAACUGUGGCUAAUACCGAACCACCUCGCAAGACCGGGAGGGGGACUUUUAGGCCUCUCACUAUCGGAUGAACCCAGAUGGGAUUAGCUAGUAGGCGGGGUAACGGCCCACCUAGGCCACGAUCCCUAGCUGGUCUGAGAGGAUGACCAGCCACACUGGAACUGAGACACGGUCCACACUCCUACGGGAGGCAGCAGUGGGGAAUAUUGCACAGUGGGCGCAAGCCUGAUGCACCCAUGCCGCGUGUAUGAAAAAGGCCUUCGGGUUGUAAAGUACUUUCAGCGGGGAGGAAGGCGAUGUGGUUAAUAACCGCAUUGAUUGACGUUACCCGCAAAAAAAGCACCGGCUAACUCCGUGCCAGCAGCCGCGGUAAUACAGAGGGUGCAAGCGUUAAUCAGAAUUACUGGGCGUAAAGCGCACGCACGCGGUCUGUUAAGUCAUAUGUGAAAUCCCCGGGCUUAACCUGGGAACUGCAUUUGAAACUGGCACGCUUGAGUCUCGUAGAGGGGGGUAGAAUUCCGUGUGUA
rnacentral:rRNA from 1 species